rnacentral:rRNA from 1 species
AGGAAAAGAAACUAACAAGGAUUCCCCUAGUAACUGCGAGUGAAGAGGGAAAAGCUCAAAUUUUGAAUCUGGCGGUCGUUUCUGGCCGUCCGAAUUGUAAUCUAGAGAAGUGUCUUCCGCGUUGGCCCGUGUACAAGUCUCCUGGAAGGGAGCAUCAUAGAGGGUGAGAAUCCCGUCUUUGACACGGACUACCAGGGCUAUGUGAUGCACUCUCAACGAGUCGAGUUGUUUGGGAAUGCAGCUCAAAAUGGGUGGUAAAUUCCAUCUAAAGCUAAAUACAGGCGAGAAACCGAUAGUGAACAAGUACCGUGAGGGAAAGAUCAAAAGAACUUUGAAAAGAGAGUUAAACAGUACGUGAAAUUGCUGAAAGGGAAACGCUUGAUGUCAGUCGCGUUGAUUAGGGAUCAGCCUUAUUAUGGGGUGUACUUCCUAGUCGACGGGUCAGCAUCAGUUUCGGUCCGUCGUACAAAGGCAAAGGAAAGUGACUUUACCGUCAUGGACCUUUGUCGGAUGCGGUGGUCGGGACUGAGGAAACCUCUGCACCUUCUAGUUAGUGUGUUCAGAGAUGCUGGCAUAAUGGCCUUAAGCGACCCGUCUG